CCCUUAGAUGUUCUGGGCCGCACGCGCGCUACACUGACGGAGGCAGCGAGCGUGUCCUUCGCCGGCAGGUGCGGGCAAUCUUGCGAGUCUCCGUCGUGCUGGGGAUAGAUGGUUGCAAUUGUCGAUCUUGAACGAGGAAUUCCUAGUAAGCGCGAGUCAUCAGCUCGCGCUGAUUACGUCCCUGCCCUUUGUACACACCGCCCGUCGCUACUACAGAGUGCCCGUGUCCAAGAAACGGUCGGACCUGUGCGGCCUCUCCGGGCGACCGGAGGGCCGUUACGGGGAAGACCCUUUAUUUGACGCGGGUCGAUGAAGUAAAAGGCGUAACA
rnacentral:rRNA from 1 species